AUUGAACGCUGGCGGCAGGCCUAACACAUGCAAGUCGAGCGGAUGACGGGAGCUUGCUCCUUGAUUCAGCGGCGGACGGGUGAGUAAUGCCUAGGAAUCUGCCUGGUAGUGGGGGACAACGUUUCGAAAGGAACGCUAAUACCGCAUACGUCCUACGGGAGAAAGCAGGGGACCUUCGGGCCUUGCGCUAUCAGAUGAGCCUAGGUCGGAUUAGCUAGUAGGUGAGGUAAUGGCUCACCUAGGCGACGAUCCGUAACUGGUCUGAGAGGAUGAUCAGGCAGACUGGAACUGAGACACGGUCCAGACUCCUACGGGAGGCAGCAGUGGGGAAGAUUGGACAAUGGGCGAAAGCCUGAUCCAGCCAUGCCGCGUGUGUGAAGAAGGUCUUCGGAUUGUAAAGCACUUUAAGUUGGGAGGAAGGGCAGUAAGCGAAUACCUUGCUGUUUUGACGUUACCGACAGAAUAAGCACCGGCUAACUCUGUGCCAGCCGCCGCGGUAAAAC
rnacentral:rRNA from 1 species